rnacentral:rRNA from 1 species
GGGGAAUUGUUCGCAAUGGGCGCAAGCCUGACGACGCAACGCCGCGUGGGGGAUGAAGGUCUUCGGAUUGUAAACCCCUGUUGGGUGGGACGAACACUUUCGUGGUGAAUAUCCACGAGGGCUGACGGUACCACCUGAGGAAGCCCCGGCUCACUCUGUGCCAGCAGCCGCGGUAAUACAGAGGGGGCAAGCGUUGUACGGAAUUACUGGGCGUAAAGGGCUCGUAGGCGGCCCACUAAGUCAGAUGUGAAAUCCCCAGGCUCAACCUGGGAACUGCAUCUGAUACUGGUGGGCUUGAAUUCGGGAGAGGGAUGCAGAAUUCCAGGUGUAGCGGUGAAAUGCGUAGAUAUCUGGAGGAAUACCGGUGGCGAAGGCGGCAUCCUGGACCGACAUUGGCGCUGAGGAGCGAAAGCUAGGGGAGCAAA